rnacentral:lncRNA from 1 species
AUCCUAGGUGACUUAAGGCCUUAGUUGAUGAGGUUUUAAGGGGCUAAUCCAUAGAUUUGGACUAGGAUUAAGUCUAAAGGUGGGUGUAUGGUGAGAUAUGGGUGUACAUGGGCUUGAGAAGUGCAUCACAUUAGGUUUGCCAUUUGGAAGUUUUUGUUGAGCUUUGGGCUUGACCCAUUUGUAUAGGUAUUUAUACAGAAAAUAGGUCAAGGAUUGUGUGAUGCUGAAUACA